UGAUUUCUAAAGACUGCUGUCCUGACUACAACUCAACCUGCACACAAUCUUUUACUACUGCACCGAUAAGCAAACCCAGCCCAACAAGCAGCAGUACUACAUCUACACUAGCAAAUAACAUCACAGCUUCCUCAUCCACAGUCUCCUCAGCAACAGCACCCAGUACAACAUCUGCACUACUGAAUGAGAGCACAACCUCAGCCUCCAUAGUGUCCACCACUACAGCAACCGACCAAAGAAGCAGCAAUACUACCUCUACGCUAGCAGAUAUAAUAACAACUUCAGCAUCCACAGUCUCUCCAACAACACCAUCCAGUACAACAAACAUCAGUACUACCUCCAUACUUGCAAAUAUCAGCGCAACCUCAACAAUCUCUGCUCCCACAGCAACCAGCCAAAAAAGCAGCAGUACUACAUCUGCACCACUAGAUGGCCUCAGAAGUCCAACAUCCACAGUCUCCACAGCUACAGUUAUUAGUUGGAGGAGCAGCCACUCUGUACGGGAUAUACCGGAGACGCCGAAGGGGGA